UACAGAGGUGGCAAGCGUUGUUCGGAAUUACUGGGCGUAAAGGGCGCGUAGGCGGUUCGUUAAGUCCUGUGUGGAAUCCCCCGGCUCAACUGGGGAACUGCACAGGAAACUAGCGGGCUUGAGUUCGGGAGAGGGAAGCGGAAUUCCGGGUGUAGCGGUGAAAUGCGUAGAUAUCUGGAGGAACACCGGUGGCGAAGGCGGCAUCCUGGACCGGUAUUGACGCUGAGGCGCGAAAGCCAGGGGAGCAAACGGG
rnacentral:rRNA from 1 species